rnacentral:lncRNA from 1 species
CUGAUUAUGCAUGGGCUGGAGCUGCCUCCUCUAACCUGUUCUUCUCCGAGCCGGGCAGCCGGCGGUCCUCAGCCGCCCACAGAACAGGAGCCGAAACAACCGUUCUCGAAGGCUACAGCGUUUAUUUUUCUCUUUUGGGGGGUUUUGGCGGUUGUUUCAGGGGCUCGCCAACUGGCCCCUUUAAUUAAAAGCUUCAAUAAAAGGCGAUCGCGCCAGGAAUGCACCCGCUCCUCUUCGCGCAGGAUUUGCAUAUUUUUUUAAUGCCCUAAUUUCCUUGAUGUAUGUAAAUGUAGCCGGACGUAGAGGGAGACAGGGAGCUGACGUCAAUGGACGUGACCUCGCAGCUAAACCUUGAACGUGAAGCCGGGAUGGGGGAAAACACGGAGCGGCAGCCGGCGGAGCCCGAGAGCGCGGGCGGCGGCGGCAGUAGCCGAGCCCAGGCCGGAGGUGCCAAGGGACCAGUGCCGGCCCCGGGGGAGGACAAGCCGCCGCCUUCUUUCUGCACCGCGCGGCUCUCAGACUCGCCAGCCUUCCGGCCGCACACGCAGACUCUUGCCCUGAGCUUCCAGCCCCACCACACACACGUUCUUUUGCUUCCCUCAGAAAAGCAACACUCCCCAAAACAACAAACCAAAAUCAACAGAUAAAACAGAUGUUUUAGACCAAUGCUCGGGUAGCUUAUCAGAAAGAAGACUCUGACCACGGAACAUAUAUAUUUUUUGGCUUCUCUCCACAAGAAGAGGAGCGAGAGACCACAGACAACAGCAAAUCACUCCUAAAACACGAUAACUACAAGUGCUCCCUGUAGGGAGAGGUAAAUCGCCCAGCCGACUGGUGAAGUCUUCUGGUUUCGACGCCGAAAGAAGCCUGUUUGUGUGCUGCGGCCGUGCUGUGACUCUGGAUCUUGUCUUUCAGCCGGCGCCUCGGUUCCUGCCCAGCUGGAUUUGGGGGGCAGCAUUGCCUGGCGCAGGGAGAUCAAAUGAGACUGCAAAGAACAUAAAAUGAAUAGACAAUCCAACCAACCAAAGACCGGGGGCAGCAGCAGGCCAGCAAGACGGCAUCUUCUCCUUCCCAGCCUAGAAGCCCUGUGAAAUCGAGGAUCUUCCCCCUAAAACACAUACACACAAGAUAUGUGCAAUCAAGCUGCCACCGCUUGGUAAAAAGCUCAUGGUGCCUAACCAAAAAGGAUCAGGAACAGAUCCUUGAAUCAGCUGUCACUUCUAUAGAAUGGGAUUUUUUUUCCUUCCUCCUUAACCUGCGCUGGAAAUUGCCGUUGGCUUUAUACAUCUCUAUAGAGAGAGGCUAAAGAGUCUUGCGUGAGAAAGAAGCAAUUUACAAUGCAAAUAGAGGCCUGUGAAGGGACGGAUGCUGCUGCUCACUCGUAACAGCUUGCUGCACCUUAAUAGCUGGUUUUAUUUUCUGAUAUUAAUAGAUGAAUUGUUGGCUAACGCUGCCGGAGAUUACUUGCUGAAAGGAAAAAAAAAAGUUCGGAAUAAACUCUGAAGGCAACAGAUCUCGUUUGGAUGUUUUAGCCGCGCACACACACAAACAGAAACCAGGUCAUAUUUACAUAAAAGGAGGAAUCUUAAGCGCGGCAAGUAUCCUGGACGACCACUCUUCGGUACUGCCAGAAAGGAUCAGGACCUGGAGUCUGGCAAGAGGAAGACAGAGGCCUGUGUGGGAAGCGAGUUGUUAUCUUUGGUUAUCUAGCUGUAUGAGUGUAUUGGUCUUCAUAAAGCUAGAUAACCGAAAGUAAAAACUCCUUCAAGAUCGCCGGGGAGCGUGUGAGAAUGAAAGACUACAGCCGAGAGACAGUAAAAACCAGAAAGGUCAGGAAUACUUAUUGAAUCUAACUUUGUUUUUGUUUUGUUUUUUUCCUUAUGAUUAAAGGUGGGAUGAGAGAAAAUUAAAUGACACACAACAUGCUAAAAUAUCAAGGUGCCAGAUAUGUCUUGAGAGGGGUUGUUGCAGCUGCAAAGGAGAAGUGUAUAGUGAUAAUGAGUAAAGAUGCAUGUGCAGUUUGUUCUAUUUUAAGGCAAAAGUUAUAUCAGGGAUUUUUUUCUUAGAAAGGUGUUGCAGAGAUGUCUGGUACCUAGUUUAAAAAUGAUUCCAUAAUAUGUAGACUUGGGCAGUUCCUUUGUGAGGCACCUCCCUCUCAAAAUUUGAAGAUUGUGCUUGGUAAUUACUUUACAUGUAUUUGGGCUGUAUGUCAAUUUGUACGAAAUUAGACUUUCAGAAAAGUUUAUACUGGAAGGUUAAUAAUUUGUAUCUACUGAGGACUUAGAGCUAGCAGGCAAAAUG